rnacentral:rRNA from 1 species
AUGAGCUACCCGCCACCGGGCACCGCGUACCCGCCGCCGGGGCAGGAGGCCUACCCGCCUCCAGUCUACGGCGCUCCGCCGCCUGUCGCCGCCAGCUACCAGCAGCAGCAGCAGCAGGCCCCGCCGCCGCCGCCGCCGGAGGCGCAGAGCCGCGGCAGCGACGGCUUCUGGAAAGGAUGCUGUGCCGCAAUCUGCUGCUGCUGCCUGCUCGACAUGUGCCUCUGA